rnacentral:lncRNA from 1 species
GUGCUCGGAUUUUAAGGCAGCAGCUUGCCGAUCCUCCCAGCUGAAUAAAGCCCUUCCUUCUACAACUUGGUGUCUGAGAGGUUUUGUCUGCGGCUCGUCCUUCUACAUUUCUUGGUCCCCUGACCGGGAAUCGAGGUAACUGAGGGAUGGCCGAGGUAGCCCCUUAGGCAGCUUAGGCCUGCCCUGUGGAGCAUCCCUGCAGGGGACUCUGGCCAGCCUGAGUGACGUGAUCCAAAGAGCACUCCUGGGUAGAAAAUUGCCUGGGUGGAACGCCUCACCAGAACAGCACGUAGCAGGCCCCUGUGGAGGAUUAACACAGUGGCUGAACACCGGGAAGGAACUGGCACUUGGAGUCCGGACAUCUGAAACUUGGUAAGACUCGUCUUUGGAACUUGCCCUACUCCAUCUGAGUGGAAGCGUGGCCUGAUCACCCACGGUGUGCCUGUAUUGGCACUUUUGUUCUGGUUUUGACUUGACUUGACUUGGUAAGACUAGUCUUUGGAACUUGCCCCACUCCAUCUGAGUGGAAGUGUGGCCUGAUCACCCACGACGUGCCUGCAUUGGCACUUUUGUUCUAAACAAGAAAAUAUGGACAGGAUACUUAUCUAAAUAAAAUUACUAAAUAUUUUGAUACUUUAUUCCAGUAAAUAUGGAUGCUUAGAUAAAAGGGAUCAUACACAACAGCAACAUAAUCUUUCCAAAAUCACUAAAAGAAA